AGGAAAGGGCCCUGACAAGAGGAUGGGACUGCAGUUGUGGCUGCCAGGUCUCACUCUCCCUUGGAUGGUCGGCGGGGUGGGGGUGGAGGCCAGGGCUGUAGUGCAGCUCCCGCAGGUGCUGGCUCAGGGGGAGCAGGCAGGCUCCGGUUUUCGGUAAUCCUCCUGGAUGGGGAUGGUGCUGCCCUCCUCCUCCCUGGGGCAGCUGUAAUGACAAGGCUCUGCAGGCUCCACAGGACUUUCUCCUUUGUCUGCAGAAGGAGAUCCGAUGAGUCUUGGCCAGCAGUGGGGGCAGGGGGAGACGGGAGAAGGAGAUGGGUAGAGGCGGGUGCGCUUGGGGGAGGGGUGUCAGGAGCACGCCAGCUAAGGGGAGAGAAGGGGUAGGACCAAGGCUGGUGAAGUGGAGCUGGUGGGUUUCAGUGAGAUUCCAGGCGUGGGCAGUGGGGUUGAGCCAGUGGGGUGUGGUGCAGGGGCAGGACCGGAGGCCUGUGUUCUGUCUCUUACUUGAUCUAUAUUUCCUUCGUUGAUGGAGGAACAGGGCCCCGGCCAGGGUGAAAACAAGGAACAUUCCAGAGAAGAUCACAAGGAUGCGAAUAAAAUCGGAGCUGCACAGGGAUCUUUGGGCUGUAAUAGGAGGGGACACACAGGGGUUGGAGUGCAGUGGCACGAUCUCGGCUCAGUGCAACCUCCGCCUCCUGAGUUCAAGUGAUUCUCCUGCCUCAGCCUCCCUAGUAGCUGGGAUUACAGGACAAGGAGAGGGACAAAUUCCUUCUUGGCAUCCUUAUGGCCCUGUGACCUGCUAAUGAAUGCUGACUCUGAGUUGCUACUAGAAUUUGGUUUCCUUGUGGCUUCCCAGGAAUUGUGAGCCAUGUUGGAUAAGGACCUGCAAGGGAAGAAUGAGGAAGCCUGGGACAGUGCAGGAGGGGAGAGCACUGGUGGUAGAGAGGAGUGAUGACAAGGGUCUCCGCCAAAAGGGAAAUGGAGGGGUUAAAGAAGCUGCUGGGGAGGGUUAAAAACAAUGUGUUCUCACUCGUAGGUGGGAAUUGAACAAUGAGAACACUUGGACACAGGAAGGGGAACAUCACACACUGGGGCCUGUCGUGGGGUGUGGGGAGGGAGGAGGGAUAGCAUUAGGAGAUAUACCUAAUGUAAAUGAUGAGUUAAUGGGUGCAGCACACCAACAUGGCACAUGUAUACCUAUGUAACAAACCUGCACAUUGUGUACAUGUACCCUAGAACUUAAAGUAUAAUUAAAAAACAAAACAAAAC
rnacentral:lncRNA from 1 species